UACGGUAGGGUGCAAGCGUUGUCCGGAAUUAUUGGGCGUAAAGAGCUGUAGGCGGUUUGUCGCGUCUGCCCGUGAAAUUUCGGGGCUCAACCCCGAACUUGCGGUGGGUACGGGCAGACUAGAGUGUGGUAGGGGAGACUGGAAUUCCUGGUGUAGCGGUGAAAUGCGCAGAUAUCAGGAGGAACACCGAUGGCGAAGGCAGGUCUCUGGGCCACUACUGACGCUGAGAAGCGAAAGCAUGGGGAGCGAACAGG
rnacentral:rRNA from 1 species